UGUUUGUUUUUGGUUUGAUGUGACACACAUUUGGUCUGCGUCCAAAAAAAGAAAAUCCCAUAACGUUUCAGUGGGGCUGCUGUGGGGGAUUCCAGUGUGUGGAGCUUCAGGCUGUAUUUCACUGUUACAUGAUCAUCACACUCCUGUACAGACACCCAGCAGUGGUGUGCACAGACUGUGGAAGGGACGUGUGCAGUAGGAAGGAGAGGCACCUCAUCACUGCUUUGAUGUAUCACAUCAAACAAAAACAAAAAAAGAAGCAGCAGCAUGUUUCAGUCCUGGAGCUAAUGCUAAUUACAGUAAGACCAAUCAAAGUGCAGCCCACUGAGUAAUAGCUAUACUGGUCCACAGCCCAAAAUGUACUAUUUUCACAAAAAGCAGCUGCAAAACUAUGACAUGGUUGCUUGUUUUAGGGGGUUUCUUAUUUUAUUAGUUUUUAUUCAUAUAGUGCCAUUUCAUAUUAUCUUGAGGCAACCCAACAAGUACACAGUUUCUUUUGAAUCCCCUUUGAGCAGCAUUUGGCAGCAAUGGGACGAUCUCUUCUUUUUCAGACAGAAACCUCUGGCAGAAACAGGCGUUGUCUACCUCGACCAGUUGGGGUGAGGGUGAAGGAGAGAGACAACAGGAUAGCAAACAGAAAUGCAUUUGAGAACAACUUUGGAGAUCAGUUUCUGCGUGUAGAAACCUGUAGUCCCAGAUUCCUGCAGAGACAACAAAGCACAAACUACAGGGAAGAGAAGACAAACUGAACGACAUGCAAUUAUAACAUGUAUGAAGACAGAAAGAAAGAAAGAAGAGUAGAAGUCCAUCAUUCUAUAAGUCUAGGCCUAUAGCAGGUAUAACCAACUAAUUACUCACCUGUGCAGCCCAAGCUAGAAGCUUUAUCAAAAAGGAAAGUUUCAAGCCUAAUCUCAAAAGAUUAGCGUUUCUUUUUUACCGACAAAUUGGUAAGGAUGGUUUUUACCGAGCAGGGAAAAAACAUCAACCAUCCUUACUAAUUUGUUGGUAAUCUAAUGUAAAGAGAUGACAAAAUGAACAUAAUCAGUCUAAUCUCUAACGUAGAGAAAGAAGGUGUCUGCUGAUCCCACAGCAGAGGAGCCUGAUAGCUGAAGGCUCUUCCUCCCAUUCUGUGUGUGGAAACUAAAAACCACAAGUAAGCAUGUACUCUGAAAGCAAAGUGCUCUUAGGGGAUAAUAUGGUCCAACAUAAGACAAGAUGGAGCUUCUUCAUGUAGAGCUUUUUGUGCAACCUAGAAAACAAUGAGAACAGGUGUGUUGCAGGCCAUGUCCACAUGUACAGGGGUAUUUUUUUUAAACAAAGCUUUUUCUAUGUAUUUUGUCCCUGCCCUUUUGGAAAGUUUCUUUUCAAAUGAAGAUCUUCAGAAAGAGACAACAUAUGUGUAGAAUAGGACUCAAAGCCUGAUGUAAUUUUGAUGUCUUAAAAACAAGAAGUAGUUUUGCAGCACAAACGCAAACAGUGACUGAAUAUGCAACAAAUAAAACAAGCAAAACAGAUCUCACGCCUCCAAGGUCCAGUCUUCUGGGUGAAAGUUCUGAGUUUAAUUAUUUUCAUAAUAAUAAUGCACACUCUUUUGCUCUUUUGUGCAAUAAACUUGUCAGAAAUGUGUUUUGGGUGCAGGCCAACAGAAGACAUUAAGCUAAAAAACAAAACAAAGAAAUGUAGGAAUCUCGCUAGUUUACAGACUUCAUUGUGAAACAAAUACAUUUUUCCCUGUAGCUAUUACACGUUUUGGUGAGAGACUGCGUUGCAAAGUGGCUGGGCUUUGCAAAUCAAAGGUACAGGCAUUUAUUAUUCUUUUUAAAGAUGGCAUUUUCACACAGUUUUCAGUGCACUUCCAACCAGUCUGCACAAAGACUUAUACCAGUCUUUGUACUCUAAUUAUAUCCAUAGGAGCUUGAAGGGACUCUACACUGGUUUCAUGAUAAAUUUGCUUUCCAUGAUGCCCUCUGUGAGUAUGGAAAUGAAAACCUUGGGGCAAAGUUUACAGUGUUUCAACAGAAAGACGUGGCCAUUUAUUUAUUAUAAGUUGCACCCAUAUCAUAAAGCCAAAGACAGGAUCUCUCAGCCUCAGCUGCCGCAAAUUUUACUCUUCCUUUUAAAUAUCUGUUUCUGUUUCCCAACUCUUUGGUAAUAAAUUACUGUAAUGCGCCUGUAUUCCCAAGGAAGUGACCCAAAAGCAAUUAGUUCAGUGACAAGACACUGUAAAGAAAAGAAAAAAGAGGGGAAAAAAAGAAGCAGAUUAUUAAAUAAAACUCCCUCAUCCCCACUCUAACCCCAACCGGUUGAAGCAGAUGGCCGCCUUCCCUGUGCCUGGUUCUAUCUGAGAUCAUAAGGACUCCAAAGCCAUCUUUGGAUUGUUGGGUUUUCUGUUCUGUUUGUAAUUUCAAAGGUCUGUACUUUAUGAUGCUAAGCGCUUUGAGGAUGUUGUGAAUUUGCUUUAUAUACACUACCGUUCAAAAGUUUGAGGUCAUCCAGGCAAUUUCAUGUUUUCCAUGAAAACUCACGCUUUUAUUCAUCUGCUAACAUUACUUCCCAAAGGUUUUCUAAUCAUCAAUUAGCCUUUCAACACCAUUAGCUAACACAAUGUAGCAUUAGAACACAGGAGUGAUGGUUGCUGGAAAUGUUCCUCUGUACCCCGAAGGAGAUGUUCCAUUAAAAAUCAGCCGUUUCCAGCUAGAAUAGUCAUUUACUACAUUAACAACGUCUAGACUGUAUUUCUGAUUCAUUUAAAGUUAUCUUCAUUGAGUAAAAACUGCUUUCCUUUCAAAAACAAGGACAUUUCUAAGUGACCCCAAACUUUUGAACUGAGAACUGAAUUGAGAGCAAGACUGUAAAUAUAAACAGAUUUCUUCUCGAUUGUUCCAGACCACACUUUCCUGGUCAGGAAAUCAAACCAGCAACCACACAAUCAAUGAAGAUGCUUGUCUGAAAGUAAACAGAGCCUUACUUUCUCUACCCUUCAACAUAUUUAAGAACAUCCACUAUUAGAGACCAUAUUUUAAUACAAAACAUCUAAGAUAGAUGCCACUUGGUCUUCACAGGGUUUUAUGAUAACCAGUGCAGUUGACAUGACUGACAGAAAAACUGACCACUUCUUGAUACACUGCCGAGUAUGAGCGAAUUAUUUAAUUAAAAUUUCGAUGUUGUUAUGGUUGUUUUGAAUGUGCAACCUCUACCCAGCUAUGAGUGGGGGCCUUUCAUCCAACUUAUGCACAGUUCUAUUGAGUCAUAAUCAGUUUUUCUUGUCACCCAGCUUGAUCGAAAACUAAUGAGCCUCCGCUGACUGGUGGAGCAUUUGUUCACAGUCUGAAUGCCAGAAUCAGUGAUGACACCAAGGUCACAUACAUAUUUUAUUUUAUUCUCUCCUACAUCCAUUUAGAAUGUUUUUUUUCCCUUUUUUUCCCCCCUCCUUCUUGUCUUGUUCAAUUGAAUGCCAUCGAUGAAAUUGGCUCAAGAUCUACUCAGCAGCAGAGAAAUGUACCUUCAUUAUUUCUGAUGAUUUAAAAGACUUAAAGUAGCUCCUCUGACCUCCACCGGCUCCGUAAUGAACUCAGGCCUCGGUGCUCUCAAGUGUUUUUCUACACUCUAAAAUCCAGCUCCAGAUUGAGAGCUUGCAGGGACAGAUUCAUACAUACACUACAUGUACAAUUAUUAGGCAAGUUGUAUUCUUUAGGAUUCAUUUUGUUUUUGAAGAAAUGCAAUACUCUCAAUCAAUCCAAAAUGAUGACAAACCUCAAACCUGAGUAUUCAACAAAGGAAACGUGAGUUUUGGCUUUCGCAGGAUGUGUGCACAGUAAUUAGGCAACUAUUAGUGUGCAGAAUUAUUAUGUAGCUGAAUAAAAAAAACUAAAAUUUUCCCAUCUGAUUUGUUUAUUUUUCAUUUAUUAUUAGAGUAAGAAUAACUAACAAUAAAAACCUAAAAUUUUCCCAUAUGAUUUAUUUUUCAUUUAUUAUUAGAGUAAGAAUAACUAACAAUAAAAGCAGUCAAAGAGCGCAGUGCUUUGUCAAGACUGCUCAGUCUUUGUAUCAUGUCCGAUGGAUGAAUUCUUUAAUAAAAAAAAAUGACCUGGGCAAUGGGAAUUGAUGGGACUCGGAAACACUCCCACAAUUUAAUCAAUUGUUUAAUCAAAAGUCACGAUAAGUCUGCAGGGGUCAGUUUGUAGCCAAAUUGCAAUAAUGUGAUCAUCAUCAGGCAGCUGACGUGCUGCUAUCUCGUGGUGACACAGAAAUCUUUUUUAAAUCCGUGGAUCCAGACUAUAAGCCGCAUCACUGCCCAAAUGUAGUCAUUUGGUUCUUGUGAAAUUUCUGACCUUCCUUUAAAUUUUCAUAUAAAACCGUUAUUCGGUUUUUGAGUGAUGUUGCUAACAGAAAGACAGACAGCUGCACUCCGAUUGUCACGUAACUCCCAUAAGUUCCUUGGUGGAGUAAUAAACAAUUUGAAAUUUACAAAUAAACACUUCUGAUCACGCCUCAGUAGCUUAGCUAUGUCAAGAGUGCUGCAUCCUUCUGUAAGGCAUUGUAAAAAAAAUGCCUUACAGAAGUCUGUUAAAUCUCUUUUUUGGUCCGUUUUGUCUGUGGUAAAGAAACUGCCUAACACUGUUGAUCACUUUAGGCCACUUUAGGCCACACCUUCCCUCAUUACACAAAUACACAUCACCUGAUAAUACUUCAGUCCAAUUAACAUUCAAGUUUAUGUAGCUUGGAGAUGGAAAAUAUGCUUAAAAAUGAUAAGGUCACGAUGUGUCUAAUCAUUGUGCACACAAUGCACUAGAUGACAUUGUCACAUUCUGUAAAUCAGUGGUUCUCAACCCUGUUAAUCAGGACAGUGGGUCCUGAGGAACAGGGUUGAGAACCACUGCUGUAAAUGUAGAUUCUGUGUAUGCUUGUUUUCCUAAUUGCAGUUAUAGAUGACAGUUUUUAUGACCCCUUUAUUACAACAAAUGGAGCAAACUGACAUCUUGUGCAUGAUGUGGUAUGUUAGAUAUGUUUGGGAAUGCAAUAUGAAAUAAAUAACUUCAGAUUUUACAUUGGACAUGUGCAGUAAACAUCACAGUGAAUGCUGCAGGCAUCUAGUUUUCUCUGAGCCUGGUAUAAUAUGUUUUUUAUUGAGCCUGUCUUAGUCCAUAAUGCCACUCGAGCCCUUUUUGUCCCCACUUCAUCAAAUGUGUUCUCACCAGGAUCUUGCCUGCAGUGAAGUUUGACCUGCUCAGCUGAUCUUUUCACCAACACCCAGCGUAAUGCACUUCUGAUAGAUGAUGUGUUCUGCAAAUUUAUGCAAAGCGUUGACACAAAAAAAUUCUCAUCUUACACCCUUUCAGCUGUUCCUCAUUUAGCAUCCCGUUCGGCAUUCACAGAUGUUCUUUGCUUUGUAUGAUUUGUAUGUAAAAUGGUGCCAACUUGAAGCCCUUCACUGUUCAGCUGUACGGCAGGGACUUGACAUGUUUCCUGGAAUUAGGCUGCAUGUAGAGAAUUUUAAUCCCCGCUUUCAUUUUAUCUCGCUUGCUCACUUCAUUUGAGGAAUCUCCGUAACAAAAGGUUGAACACUCUGCCAAACUCAGGUAAUUAGGCUUCCUCAGUUUCUUCACCAAGGCUUUUUCCCUGAAUGCUGAGGCUUAGAUGGAGAUAAAGUCACAUGAAUUUAACAAUUUUUUACUGUGUGCUAUAAGCUGAGCAAAGUUCACGGAAAUUGCUGUCGUGUUAUAACAGCAAACGGUAAUACUUGCAUUAAACUAUUGUGUACAACAUGAUUUCUGCUUUUAAACCUUGCCAAAGGUAGGAAUGCAGCAGAGAAAGAAGAGGUGUUUAACUCUGGCAUGCAGCUUGGUUAAUAGUGUUAGCACAUGGAGAGGAAUUCAUCAAUUAAACACAAGUAGCAACUGCAUGUAAUGUUUGAUUGAAGUUGUCCAGAGGUGAACUGAAUCUUAAGAACAAGGUCUAAAAAUUAUUUCAUUUGGAGAAGAGCUGGGCUCACCCAGUGCUGGAUCUGCUCCCUCUCAUCCUGCUGGCUUCCAGUGACAUAAAGCAUCAAAGACCGGCUGGGAGGUUUAGCAUGAGUAGAUUGUGCAUGUGUUGCUGAUGCCACCUCACAGGAUUGCUGGAAGUCCUUAAACUUCAAAGUAAGUCAGAAAACUCUUUGUUGCACAAUUUGCACAAAACCGAGCUUUUAUCCAAGCUGCCAUCAGAAAGAUUUUUGAAAGAAAACUUUCUAUCCAACAAACCAAACAAUGCGGUCUCAUCUUCCUUCACUGUUCACCAAAGUUUCUUGACAUCACUUAAUGCAUCCUGUGGAUCUUCUUCAUAGCGGGCAAACAGACUUUAUGUUCAUUAUCGCCACCUACUGGGCUGGAGUGUGCAUCAGCGUUACCAGUGUACCAGAAAUUAGGAAACUGAGAAAGGAUGCCCAGUAGCCGAAGCAGAGGUCACUUGAGCUCACCCACAAGCCUCCAACUGUCCCCUCCAUCACUCUCUGAAAUAACUAUUGACCAGGGCUGGAGAUCAAUAGUAAUUCACAUUAAAUUAUUUUUUAAAAAACAUUCCUGUCAUCACAGUAUUUCACUGCCGGUGGGCAUUUGUUUGACCUGCAUCAAGUCUCCUGAUCAAUCGCAUUGAUCAUUCAAGAUUCUGUAAGUAUGCAUGAGGCAGUCUGGCAGUAAAGGCGGCGGACAGAGCUCCAUCCAGGCUGCUGACGGUCAGCCUGAUGUUGGUGUGUGACGUGCAUGAAUGGACAGUGUGGUUGUGGACGGAUUGUGUUACAGGUGUAGUUUCAGACAGCAAAAAAUAAGCAGAUUGUGAUCAUUUUUAGGUGUGAAAAUUAAUUUAAUAGAUUGCAUCGACAGGUCACAUUUGUCCCAGUUGCUGAAAACAUCACAGACUUUGAAAAGCUUGAAAGAAAACUCUAAUUUUCCAGCUGCUGGGGUGUCAUAAAAGCCGAAUAAAAAUCCAAUAAUUUCCCAUGAUUAAAAUUAAUUUACAAAUUUAUUUUUACACAAGAUUGUGUGUAUUUGUUUUUGGCUUUUUAAUAUUUAAUGAAUGAUAUUUACACGUGUGAAAACAAUAUUACCUCUUAAAUUUAAUCCAUAGAAUUACAUAGAUGAUAGAAUGAUGAAUGAUGUAUAAUGACUAAAAAUAGAUUUUGACACAUUUUCAUUGCUUAUAGAUAUUAAACGAAUAUAUAUUCAUUAAUAUAUGUGUGUGUAAUUAUACAAGAUAUAUUUGACAAACAAAUUAAUGUAAAAUUUAGAAAAGGUUCUUCUUUUUCUGUUUAUUGUCACUAAUUGUAUAUAUUUUUAAAAAUAUAUUUACAGCGUCAAAAUUCUGUUUCGUGGUUUCUUUAAAAAAUAUAUUAUUAGUGAUGUUUGCUAUAUUACCCAUGAUGUACUAUAAAUCUGACAGUUUCAAAAGAAAGCAUAAUAUCAGGAUUUUUUUCAGUUGUUUGUAAAGUAAACUCUCUGUACAUGAAUUAUUAAAACACUGGGUGGAUUGUCUGGAUGUCCUCAAAGUC